rnacentral:lncRNA from 1 species
GAAGUUGAGAGAGGAUCUUUGUCAAGUUGUCUAGCUUUUGAGUCAAGAGAUGAUUAUGAGCUAGCAUAGCAUCAUUCGCAGGCAAGUGCAAGACUUCUCUCUUUGUUGUAGGUGCGCCCCUUUCACUGUAAGUUUCCUGCUCAUUAGCAGUUGUUAAACUGCCUUUUAGUCGCCUAAGGCAGAACAAAGAACUGGUCCCCACUAAUGUAGCAUAGGGCAACCAAAAUAUCAAUCCUAGGACUCAGC